GAGACUCAAGGCAGAGUCAGCAUGAAGUAGAUUGGGCCCUGAUGCUGAACUUUUGCCAAUGUCAGCACCUGUGAUCUUGCUAUCCAUUUUUUUUCACCAUCACCAAGACAAGCUGAGAAAGCUCAACUUUAUCUUUUCUUGAUCAUAGAAUGUUCCAUUCUGGUCUGUACCAAGGGUAACCCGAGUUUCUAAGUGAGCCUAAUUAGAACAAGUCAGAGAAGGAAGCAGCACUGGGAAGAUGCACCAUUAAGGCUGAGAGAUAGUUGGUUACCGACACCCUGCAGAGCUGGAAGAGACUCUUCCUUAUAUACUACUGUCACUCCUUAGGCGGGAGCCUCAGUGCCAAGUGCAACCAUCUAUUGUCUGGAGAAUUCCAGGACUAGGCUGUCAGCCUGAAGAACCUUCCUUUCACCUCCUUUGCCUGCUUAAAUGCCUGCUCAGAGAUCUGCCUUGCCCACGACCUCACACAGGUGCAGACAAAUCAACAACUUCAGACUCCUGAGAAGCUGGGGUCAAGCUGGGUGACUGGGGUGAGAGGCCAGGGCUCCUGGUCCCCAGUCAGUGUGCUCCACAGGAACCCUCACCACAGCCAACAGCUCAGCCCUUGCCCUUGGACUUGUUGGGGGUGGCACACUCAGAAAGAGGGACAGAGUGAGGCCGAGGAAAUGGCGGCAUGCUCCACUGCACCUCUCCCCAGAAUGCAAUGUGACACGAGGCAUCAGGAGAUGGCAGCGAAAGUUCAAGGGAAAACCACACAGUUAUUUAUGGCUCCGGCAUCUGUUGUCAGAUCAGAAACAGAGACCUAAUCUAAGGCAAAUCCAGCAGCCUGUACCAGAGCAGAUGGGGAGGUGUGUGCACUGCUCAGUCCUGUUCCACUCUCAAUUUAUUAUUAUCCCUCAUCUCCAGAUCCCGGCUCCAAAGCAGACAUUUGUCCCGGCCACGAUGCCAGCAAUCCCGGCUGGAUGGACGGGCAGCCGAGUUUCUUUCUGCUGAUGGGUGGACCCCACAGUUCCACUGGAAGAAGACUUGAAACAUCACAGGUAACAUCAUGAAACUAGCUUGGAGAAUCAGAUGAAGCCACAAUCCACUUGAGUUUCCCAGAGAUGGCGGUGGUGAUCAUGAUGAUAAUGAUGAUGAUGACGAUGACGACGAUGACGAUGAUGAUUUAAGAAGACACCUUAAUCCCAAUCCUUAUUCUUCUCAUCUGAAAGGAAACAGCAAAUUCUAUACAUUUCAUUAAAUUGAAGAAUUCCACCCUCCAUCCCGCCAUUUACACUUUGGUCUGUGCGUCUCAGAGGUAGUGACUGGGUAAGACUCAUGGCAGAGGUCAAGAGACUUAGCCCCCCAAGAGCAGGACAAAUAGACUUUCCUUUACCUGACUGCAUAUUUGCUAGGAGCCUCUGGUCCCCGGAGGGCUAUACACAUGAAAACUAGGUAGUCUGAUGUUGUAAUAAUGGUAAACACAGACCUGGAGUGAGGCUGCAGGUAGACAGAUAUUUUGAUUGACUAGACACAGGUGCCUGUUGCCUGUGCCUGAGUGUGUCUGGGUGAUGGAGGAUCCACCUAACAGCUCAGCUCCCAUUCCCACGGGCCUGUCAGCUGCACCCCACCUGAGCAUUCUUCACUCCUACUCACUCAGGUAAUCAGAAAGGACUGGAAGCUGCUGAUGGUUAAUAAGCAUUUGCUAGAGACUAGGCAAGACCCCAGUCCUCCCCAGGUUUCACUCCUUCCCUGGGGCAUCUCUCUGAAAAGGAGGGAAAGGAUGCGAUUGGAUGUCUCUAAGUAAGGCCUGCCAGACAAGUCUCUAGGGCACUUACGUUGAGACUACCAGAGAUCUGCCCCCACAGCUGAGCCAGAACCCCUGAGCAAGGAAAGCUAGAGAGAGCCAGUUCUCAUCCCCCCAGGCUGCUAAGCAGAAGCCUCUGAGGAAGGCGGGCAGACGCAUCUGGCAAGAUGAUGAGGUGGCCCAUUUCCUCCAGCCCUGGCAGGCUCUGUCUGCAGCCUGAGCCUCAGCAGUUGAUUUUGUCUCUGUGUUGGCACCUGUUUGCCGCUUACACCAACUAAUGUCUGUCAGUGGGCUCAUUAUCAUCAAGGAUCUGAAAUUAAGAAAUUAUGAAUGUGUAGACACUUCUGUUCUCAUCCUAAUGGUUUGUUUGUUGUUUAAUGGUUUGUUUAUUUUAUCGAUGGCAUCUGUCCUCAUUGGAAUGUUACAAAUUGGACUCGUGCUUGCCCUUCUUUGCGGUCUGCCCAUCUCUACCUUUGGGUUUUUUGUUUUUCUCUCACUGCUCCGUUAGGUAAAGCACUCAUUGUUUAAACAGACUGACAGAGAGACGACAGGGACAGGGGGAAGGCGGGAGCAAGGCAAGAGAAGUCCAAACAGAAAUAGCAAGGCCUCCCAUAUACCAAAGGCUUUAGGAAUCUUUUUUUUUUAACUAAUCAUUUGUACCAUUGGAAAGAGUAGGUUUAGCCAUGUGUCAUGGCACCAGAGGCCAAAGCAGGAAGAUGAGGCAGCUCUGAGACCAGUCUGGCCUAAAACAAAGCAAAACGAAUGUUUAAAUGAGAUACAGAGCCGUCUAGAUUAGAAUGGUACUUCAAAACCAUUUUUUUUUAGUUGUGAAAAACACACGUGCAAAAAUAUAUUAAAAUAAACAUAUAUUUUACCCGAACACGUAACAAGAAAGCCAUGCAGCUAUCUCCCAGGUCAAGACAUGAAACCUCGCCUCCCACACGACCCACUCCCUGCCUUUUCCACACUGUGCUCAACUUCCUGCUCUUGAAGGGGAACACAAAUACCACAGUCUGUCUUCCCACGUAGUAUUUUUAAAACUGUAUUUAUAUUCUAGAUAUGUAAACCAAACAAUAUCUUUGGUUUGUGCCUGUUUUUUUUUUAAUUUUCCACAGAGAAGUAUAGUAUAGUGUUUUUUUUUGUUAAAGAUUCAUUCAUAUUUUAAUUAUGGUUUGCUCAUUUUUGUUAGUGUAUAGUUUUUCAUUGCACAGAUAUGCCCUAACGUGUUAAUUCAACGUGAUGUCAGUAAAUAUUGGAGCAGUUUUUCUUUCUUUUUUUUUUUUUU
rnacentral:sRNA from 1 species